GGAGGGAUAGCUCAAGUGGUAGAGCACUUGCUUAGCAUGCAUGAGGUCCUGGGUUCAAUCCCCAGUACCUCCU
rnacentral:tRNA from 1 species